rnacentral:lncRNA from 1 species
AGCAAGUCCUCAUUCUCUUUGCCAGGCUUUACGUAUAUCAGACACCCUGUCAAUUGAAUUAGGCUAAGAUGAGUCCAAACGAUACUUCAAACUAUUCUCUAAGACACCUGAAAACAACAAAUGAGCAUUUCUGGGAAAUGCUAGAAAUGAAUAGAAACCCAGAGAUCUCCUCUUCUCAUCACUGGGUAAGAAACAUGGGAGUCUAGAGACCAGGAGCAUGCCCAUGUGAGUAAGUGAUUUUGUUGGAAACAGGUCUCUCUCCCACAGAUCUGUUAGCUGAUUUAACCUCUCCAGGGGAGAGCCCAGGCACUGUUGCUUUCUUCAAUAUGAAGGAGAAUGUUGCCUCUCAUCGAGCUCCUUUACCAUGAGAUACUGGGAUAAUCCUCCAGAGUAGCUGUUGGAAUAGGUCCCAGUCCUAUCUGGUGCUCAAAGGGCCUGCAUUUGCAGAACAUUGUUAGGCAGUAUCAGUGCAAGUGUCACCGAAAACUGCAUCAGACAAGCAUCCUUCUCAUUUCCAGAUCCAUCUGGUCGUCACUAUACCCAGAUAGUCUUGGUGACCCGCUUCUAUCAAUGUCUGUCUGUAGGAUGGUCUUUAUCUAGACUCUGCCCACAAUGUUGAUGGGGAUGAGGAAAACAUCUACGUGAGGGUGGCCUGUGUCCUCGCUCCUGUUACCCCCUGCCUGAAUUACGUGGUGUUCAUGAAAGCCUGGAAUAGGGACAAAUGCUGUCUCACAGAUAACUUCAAUUCUACCAGAGAAGAAAAUAUAAUUGGAGAGUCCAGUGUUCUGUGUAACUUAUUUAGCAAUUUCUACUCUGAUUCUGCUGAUGCCCUGCACUGCAAGUGAGACUUCAAGUAUUUUCAUGGGUUAUUCUUGCCACCAUGUACUGGAAGAAACAAAAGGAGAAAGAAAAAAAUUGGCAUGAAUUUGGAACCAGUGGAAUGUGGACUCAAAACUGAGCUGAGUCAAAUGGCAAUGCUUGUCAAUUGACUUCUUAUGCAUGAUAAAUUCAAGAUAUUGAAACCAUAGAGCCUAGGGGCACCUGGGUGGCUGAGUGGUUGGCGCAGGUCAUGAUCCUGGGGUCCUGGGACUGAGUCCCUUACUGGGCUC